UGGGGAAUUUUGGACAAUGGGCGAAAGCCUGAUCCAGCAAUGCCGCGUGUGUGAAGAAGGCCUUCGGGUUGUAAAGCACUUUUGUCCGGAAAGAAAUCCUUGGCUCUAAUACAGUCGGGGGAUGACGGUACCGGAAGAAUAAGCACCGGCUAACUACGUGCCAGCAGCCGCGGUAAUACGUAGGGUGCAAGCGUUAAUCGGAAUUACUGGGCGUAAAGCGUGCGCAGGCGGUUUGCUAAGACCGAUGUGAAAUCCCCGGGCUCAACCUGGGAACUGCAUUGGUGACUGGCAGGCUAGAGUAUGGCAGAGGGGGGUAGAUGUCCACGUGUAGCAGUGAAAUGCGUAGAGAUGUGGAGGAAUACCGAUGGCGAAGGCAGCCCCCUGGGCCAAUACUGACGCUCAUGCACGAAAGCGUGGGGAGCAAACAGGAUUAGAUACCCUGGUAGUCCACGCCCUAAAACGAUGUCAACUAGUUGUUGGGGAUUCAUUUCCUUAGUAACGUAGCUAACGCGUGAAGUUGACCGCCUGGGGAGUACGGUCGCAAGAUUAAAACUCAAAUGAAUUGACGGGGUCAUAGCUGUUUCCU
rnacentral:rRNA from 1 species